GACGAACGCUGGCGGCGUGCUUAACACAUGCAAGUCGAACGGAAAGGCCCUGCUUGUGUGGUGUGCUCGAGUGGCGAACGGGUGAGUAACACGUAAGUAACCGGCCCUUGACUUUGGGAUGACUUCAGGAAACUGGGGCUAAUACCGGAUAGGAUCUCCUGCUGCAUGGUGGGGGGUGGAAAGUUUCGGCUGUUGGGGAUGGACUCGCGGCUUAUCAGCUGGUUGGUUGGGUAGUGGCUUACCAAGGCUUUGAAGGGUAGCCGGCCUGAGAGGGUGACCGGCCACAUUGGGACUGAGAUACGGCCCAGACUCCUACGGGAGGCAGCAGUGGGGAAUAUUGCACAAUGGGCGGAAGCCUGAUGCAGAAACGCCGCGUGCGGGAUGACGGCCUUCGGGUUGUAAACCGCUUUCGCCUGUGACGAAGCGUGAGUGACGGUACUGGGUAAAGAAGCACCGGCUAACUACGUG
rnacentral:rRNA from 1 species